GGUGGUAGCUCAGUGGUAGAGCACUCACCUAGCAUGUGUGAGGCACUGGGUUCGAUUCUCAGCACCA
rnacentral:tRNA from 1 species